AUUGAACGCUGGCGGCAUGCCUUACACAUGCAAGUCGAACGGCAGCACGGACUUCGGUCUGGUGGCGAGUGGCGAACGGGUGAGUAAUGUAUCGGAACGUACCUUUCAGUGGGGGAUAACGUAGCGAAAGUUACGCUAAUACCGCAUAUUCUGUGAGCAGGAAAGCAGGGGAUCGAAAGACCUUGCGCUGAUUGAGCGGCCGAUAUCAGAUUAGCUAGUUGGUGGGGUAAAGGCCUACCAAGGCGACGAUCUGUAGCGGGUCUGAGAGGAUGAUCCGCCACACUGGAACUGAGACACGGUCCAGACUCCUACGGGAGGCAGCAGUGGGGAAUUUUGGACAAUGGGGGCAACCCUGAUCCAGCCAUGCCGCGUGAGUGAAAAAGGCCUUCGGGUUGUAAAGCUCUUUCGGCCGGGAAGAAAUCGCAUAGGCUAAUACCCUGUGUGGAUGACGGUACCGGAAUAAGAAGCACCGGCUAACUACGUG
rnacentral:rRNA from 1 species